CAAAAUAAAAUAAAAUAAAAUAAAAUAAAAACAAAAAUUCAAAUUUCAAAAUUCAAAAUUCAAGUCAAAGAUAAUCAAUAAUCAUACAAAUGAACUAGUUAACCCACGAGUCCCCGCCAACGGCGCCAAAAACUUGAUGACAAAUUUAUGAACACCGAAAAACGGCGCCACAAACUUGUUUAACAAUCGGCAAGUGUGACCAAAUCAUAUCAAGUAAUAAAACAAGGUAAGACCAAAUAUCGUUUUCCCAAAGGACUCACGGCCUAGUUUAGCUAUAUGAUUUAUUGAUUAUUUGAGACUUGUGAAAAAUUGAUUGUAGAUUUAAAUGCAAAAGACAGUAAUUAAAUAUGUAUGCAUGAAUUUGAUCAAUGGAAAAAAACAAAAUACAAACACUUCAAUAACGGCAACCAAUAUGGUAUUGGGAGAAAUUCCUCGGAUCUAGAUUUCCCCGUACGUUCCCAUAUCGACAAAAUCACUAAUCAUGGCAAUUAAUGAGUUAAACAAAGCAAGCUUUACGCAAAGAGGAAAAUCCCUAACUAAUGAUGAAAGAAAGCAUAAGUCUUAAAAAUAAGAUGUUAAAACAAAUUCCAUAUAUGAGAGUUUCACAAGACUACAUUGAUUCCCCAACAACAAUACAAGGUUUAGUUCACCAUAUUCAUGGUGAAACUAGAUGAAUAAUAAUGAAAGAAUGAAAGAUAAAACCCUAGAAAGAGGAGGAGGUAGCUUGAGCAUCCAAGAUCUUCUUUCAAGGGGUGGAAAAGUGAGUGUUUGCUUUGUCUCCGCCAAAGAUACAAACCCUAGGACAUCCUAAAGCUUAUAUACUAUUCUAAAAAUACAGAAAAUUAGGUCCAAGCCCAUAAAAGUGCCGCUCAACGGUAAACUACCGCUCACCAGUAAGUGCAUGAAUUAAUUCUUCCCCCUUCAGCGGCAUUUUCACCCCUCAAUGGAUCCAACAUGAGCUCCUGAGUGCCGCUCAACGGUAAACUGCCGCUGAUCGGUAAUUGCGACUUCUCCUUUUGCACUUUUUGAUGUCUUUUCUGAUUCCAUUUCUAUCCUUCUUCACUUCUUUCACCAAAUUCACCUUAAAACCUGCAUGAAACACUGAAGUCAAGCAUAAACCUGUCCAGCUCUCUUAUUUAUGAAAAUAUGACCAAAAGCAUGAUUUCAAGCUAGUUUCUAAGUGUUAAAGGUUGCUUUUAGUAUCAAUUUUAAGCAUGAAAAUAACAGUUUUUCAACUGUUAUCAACGACAAGGUGAGGAACAUUGAUGUUGUCUUCGGAAAACAUAAAAAGAAGACCAUUGAGAAAAACAUUUGGAAAAAGCGAUCAAUAUUCUUCAAUAUUCCAUAUUGGUGUAAACUUGAUGUGAGACAUUGCAUAGACGUGAUGCAUGUUGGAAAAAAUGUAUGUGAUAGUGUUGUUGGGACUUUACUAAACAUUAAAGGAAAGACAAAAGAUGGAGUGAAAGCACGACAAGACUUGGUUGACAUGGGAAUCCGUUCUGAGUUACAUUUGCAAUCCAUAGGAAGACGCACCUAUCUUCCUCUAGCUUAUCACACUCUUUCAAAAAAAGAAAAACAAUUUUUUUUCAAUGUUUACAUAGUGUGAAGGUUCCACAAGGUUAUUCGUCGAAUAUUAGUUGUCUUGUUUCUAUGAAAGAUUUGAAGUUGGUUGGUUUAAAGUCUCACGAUUAUCAUGUCUUAAUGCAACAUCUUUUACCAGUAGCUAUUCGAGCCAUAUUACAUGCCUCUGUUAGAGGUAUUCUCACACAUUUGAGUUUAUUUUUCAAUGCCAUUUGCAAGAAAGUUGUUGAUCCUCGACAGUUAGAUGAUUUACAAAAUGAGGCCAUCAGACUAUUGUGUCAAUUGGAAAUGUAUUUCCCACCCUCAUUUUUUGAUAUCAUGGUUCAUUUGAUUGUCCAUCUAGUGAGAGAGAUUCGAAUAUGUGGGCCGAUUUUCUUAUGGUGGAUGUACCCGGUUGAAAGAUACAUGAAUAUCUUAAAGGGAUAUGUUAAGAAUCAAUUGAGACCGGAAGCUUCGAUUAUAGAGCGCUACAUUGCAAAGGAAGCCAUUGAAUUCUGCUCAAGUUAUAUGCCAAGUUGUGACCCAAUAGGACUUCCAAAGAAAUGACAUGAAAACAUACGUAAAGGAAAGGGAGUUCGAGGAGUGAGGAUUGAAAGUGUUAGUGGAAAAGAAGUUAAUUAAGCACAUUUGUACAUUUUAAACAACACAGAGGAUGUUAUUCCUUACAUUUCACAACACAUUGAUGAAAUUAAGUUAGCACAUCCACAUAUGAGUGAAAAGAGGACACUUAAUGAACAUAACAAAUCCAUUUUAGCUUGGUUUAAGAAAAAGAUUUAUGCGACUCCGAAUGUUUCUAAAAAUCUAUUGCGACUAGCUCGUGGACCUAACACUAAUGUGAUCACUUUCGGCGGUUAUGGUUAUUACAUAAAAAAUUACUUGUUCUAUUCAAAAGAGGAAGACAAUAAAAAUAGAGUUCAAAAUAGUGGAGUUACCCUACAAGUUAAGGUUGUACACUUUUCCAGUUCCAAGGAUAAGAAUCCAAUUACAACAUCAAUUAGUUAUUUUGGAAUAAUACAAGAUAUUUGGCAAAUUGAUUAUGUCACUUUUAGAGUUCCAGUUUUCAAGUGUAAAUGGAUUGACAAUAAUUAUGGAUUAACAAAAUGAGUUACAAGGAUGAACCAUUUAUUGUGGCUAGUCAAGCAAGACAAAUAUUCUAUGUCACUAACCUAGUGAAUCAUAAAUGGUCAGUGGUAUUUGAAGGUAGAGCCAUGCACACAACUGAUGAUGAAGACUCUCUAGAUAUACUUAAGACAAGCUCCUUCUCAUCAAGAACCAUUAAAAAUAAGGUCGAUGAUGUAUCUGAUGAAAUACAUGCAACAUCGUUCAAAAGUUACUUGGGCGUGAUGGCAAAAACACAUGUUCCUAUUGUCGCUACUUGUUGGGAUGAUGUCCCACAGGUUGACAAAAAUCUACUAUGGCAGAAUAUUUUGGAAAAUUGGAAUGUCCCUAAUGAUGAGAUGAUAAGGAAGAAGAUUUUAUCCCACAUUGUAGUCCGGUGGAGGGACUUCAAGACGAGAAUGACACAUCAAUACGUCUUUGGCUCUAAACAAAACGACACUCCUUGUAACAAAUAUAAAAUAACUUAGGAGGAGUGGGUGUAGUUUAAAGAAUCUAGACUUACUCCUGAGUGGCAGGUGAAAUGGAUAGUCGCCCAGCAGAGGAAGAAGCUUAAUGAUACACCACACGUAUUGUCACGUGGUGGUUAUGUGUUAUUAGAUAAAAAGAUGAGAAAAUGUCGCGCUGAGGAGUUAGGUCUUGAGUCACUUGAUCUCGCACCUCCACCAGCCAGACAUGAAUUGUGGAAGGUUGCACGGACAAAGUCCAACGGCCAGUUUACAUCCCAGUCUGCUCAGGAGAUAUCCUAGAGAAUUCUUCAUUAUGAUAUGCAUGAUGACUUGGUUGACAAACAAAGUCAAGGAACAUUUAUGGCACAAGGUAGGGAGGACCUCCUAGUAGCAGCCAUAGGUUGGCUAGACCGUCCAGGUCGUGUGCGUGGUGUUGAAGGAGCUAUUGGAUUGAGAGACUACUUUGGCCCUAAACCAAGAACACAGUAGUUGUGACUCAAGAAAUGGUUAGUAGCAUCAGGCAACAGGUGCAAGUCGAAUUAGAGGAAAGCAUGGAUGAACGCUUCAAAAUGCUCGAAGAAAAACUUGCGAUGAUCACCCAACAACAGCAACAACAACAACAACAACAACAACAACAACAACAACAACAAGAGCAACAACAACCGUCACAGCAACAGGAUGCCCCUACAGAUGAUCCUAUUGCACCUCAUGUGAGCACCAAAGGCUCAUGCUCUACUGCAGAUUGUACUAAUUACAAUAUUCAGUAUGAGUUUUUGGUUGAUGAGGAUCCUCCGUGCGUAGUGGCCGUGGGACGACAGAUUGCAGGAGGCCAAACUAUUCAUGGUGCUCCUUUAUUGCCCACUCACGCGCGGGUAAUGAUUGAUGAUCCAAGAGACCCCCAGGCUCGAGUGUCAUUGCCUACAUCUGAAAUCGAAUUCUUGGGGAGGCCUUAGGCACAUUUAUAGCUUGGCCUAAGGAUAUGAUCAUGCCAUAUUUUGGCCCACAAACGGUUUACCGUCCUGAGAAACAAUCAAUUGCUCAACCUGUGAACGAGGCUCGUGAGGAAGCAGAAGACCAUGAUGUUAUAUCCAUAUUAACCUCCAGAUUAAAUAAGUUGAGAAAAGGACCGGUAGAGAUGUUGUGGGAGUUAAGAACAUUUGGCCUCGAGUGCCAUGUUCCAUUGUAUAUUAAUUUCGAUGAUGCUUAUGAGAUCAUUGGUGGAGAAAAAAUGCUCAACAUUUCAUGCAUACAACUAUGGUGCAUGUACAUGGACACCAUCGUAGUUGAAUCAGGUCGGGCGUCAGUUUAGGGCUUUCUUGAACCUCAGACCAUUCAACCAUCUGGAAACAGAUUAGAUUUCAGAAAAUCAUAUAUUCAAACAUGGAUGACUAAGUCUAACUGAGAGAUAUAUAUCGCACCAUACAUUGAUGCGUAUGUGUUUCCCAGUAUUGUCAACUUUUAUCAUAUUUUAAUCAAUAAACUAACUCACUAGUUAUUGGUACAUGACAAGGGCCAUUGACAACUCAUGGUGAUCAUUCCAAAAAAGCACAAGUUGUGUGGUUUUGUUCUCUUCAUAGGAAGAUUAAAGCGGAGUUGAAGUCCUUGAUACAAACAGUUGUGACUAGGACCAGAGAACAACAACUUGAAAUUAUAUAUCCUAAGUGUAAUAAGCAGAAUGAUUCCUGGGCAUGUGGCUACUACAUCAUGUCAUGGAUGAAGGCAAUCAUCCGAGCAGAAAUCAGAGGGGAAUGGACUGAGGUUUGGUUGAAUGAGCUAAAUCGAAUCAAAUCCAAAAAACAAACACUGAAGUCGACCCUUUCAUCUUGGAAGAGGAAGUCUAGGGUUAGGGUUGAGAGAGAGCGAGAAAGAAAAAAAAAAAGGAGAACUCCAUGGCUGCCAUAGGCUAGACGUGCUCGGUGAUCAAAAGAGUUGGAACCGGCAACGUGCGAAGCAUCAGGAUGAUGCACAUAUUUUCUGCAGGGAGUCCUAGGUGAGUUUAUCUUUAAAUUUAUACAACAUAAAUCUUUGUGAAAGAUCAGAUCCAGCAAGCAGGAUUUCACGUUUAGGCUUAUACAACUGAUAGGAAGAUUCAAAAGAAGGUCAAGGUAUUGGGCAGAGGGAAUCCACAUUGCCAUAUUUAGAACCCGAAGUCACCGGGCAAAGAUUGGUUGUCAGAGCCAACUUUGUUUGUGCUGGAACUGGAAUUGUCAAUACUUGAAGCGUUUGAAAAGUGUUGCUUUGAAAACCCUUGGACAAUAUUACAGAGGAAAAAUCGUAGGCGCAUUGAAUAGUUUAUUGUGAAGUUUUUUGUCUUUGGAUAUAUGUAUGAAUUCAUAUGUAUUGUUAGGAAACACAAUUGUAAUUUUAAAUGAACUUAACUCUUCAUAUUUUUUGAUGAAUAAAGGUUGAAUAUUUGAUCCAUUUGUAAUUAUUAUUGAGGUUUUCAUUUUUCAGGUUGAA